GUCUGCAUGGCUCAGUUGGUUAGAGCGCCGGUCUCAUACUUCCGUAUGAACAUCCUUGAGGUGUGUAAUCCGGAGAUCGCCAGUUCGAUCCUGGCUGCGGACA
rfam:Schizophyllum commune H4-8 unplaced genomic scaffold SCHCOscaffold_7, whole genome shotgun sequence.